AGCGAACAUUGGCGGUAGGCUUAACACAUGCAAGUCGAGCGAGGCGUAAUAGUCGAGCGGCGAACGGGUGAGUAAUACAUGGAAAUCUACCCUGAAGUGGGGGAUAACGUCCAGAAAUGGACGCUAAUACCGCAUAAUCCAUAUUGGGAAAGCGUUGCAGCGCUUUAGGAUGAGUCCAUGGCUGAUUAGCUUGUUGGUGAGGUAACGGCUCACCAAGGCGACGAUCAGUAGCUGGUCUGAGAGGAGGACCAGCCACACUGGAACUGAGACACGGUCCAGACUCCUACGGGAGGCAGCAGUGGGGAAUCUUGCGCAAUGGGGGCAACCCUGACGCAGCCAUACCGAGUGAGUGAUGAAGGUCUUCGGAUUGUAAAGCUCUUUCGGCGGGGACGACGAUGACGGUACCCGCAAAAGAAGUCACGGCUAACUUCGUGCCAGCCGCCGCCGUAA
rnacentral:rRNA from 1 species